AUGCGUUCAGAAUAAGAACAACUAACGUUAGGAUCGAUUGGUCAGGUCUGGGUGACGGGAAAUGGAAGUCUACAGAUUGGGAUAAGAGAUUGAAGUCCGAAUGUGGAACUUCGUUUUUGUCUGUGAGGAAAUAUUUUAAGGGGAAAUGUAUCUUCGGACCUUUUGUUUGCGUUACCUUUCAUGCGCACACCAUUAAUGGAAUAGAUAACUAGCGUUAGUAGAUUCCUAUCAGAUCUGAUGACUGAUUUGAUCAGAUGAGCAGCCUCAGUCAGCGCAGUGAACAGACCGAAAACAGCAACAGCCUCCAUUCCAGAGCUGCCUCUCCUCAGCCCAAGACUGCUGCACUACAGCAUGUAGACAGCAGUGCUUUCUCCUGGAGCUUUUGCAAAUGAAAAUGGAGGACGUGUCUCUGUCCAGUAUGGACAACAGUAAGAUGGAGGGCUUUGCUCAAGACAUCCUGUCUGAUCUGGUGGAGGAUGCAUGUUUGGGGCUUUGUUUCGAGGUUCACAGGGCUGUCAAACAGGGAUACUUUUUCCUGGAUGAUACAGACCAAGAGAGUAUGAAGGACUUUGAAAUCGUGGACCAGCCUGGAGUAGAUAUUUUUGGGCAAGUGUACAACCAGUGGAAAAACAAAGAGUGUGUGUGUCCCAACUGCAGCCGGAGCAUCGCUGCCUCACGGUUUGCUCCUCACCUAGAGAAAUGCCUUGGCAUGGGCCGCAACAGCAGUCGCAUUGCCAGCCGAAGAAUUGCGAGUGGCAACAACACAAACAAAUCAGAGAGCGAUCAAGAGGACAAUGAUGAUGUCAAUGACAAUGACUGGUCUUAUGGGGCAGAAAAGAAAGCCAAGAAGAGAAAGUCAGAUAAGGUAUUUUUACAUUCUUUGAAACAGCCUGUGCCCUUGGUAAGUUUGUUUUUACUAUUACAGAUGUUCUGUUUGCUCUUAGAUGGCCCCUCAGAUUUGUAGCCACAGGAUCUGGUGCAAAGCAAGUUAGAAUUAGUUUAUUAAAGGAUGUAGAAUUUUAUCCACAAUUCUUGUCAACAAGAAUGUUUUGUUCAAACAGUAGCUGUCUAAUAAGUGCUGGACUUUUGCAUAUUAUACAUGCCUUUUCCGUAACCUUGUCUCUUUGUUGGUUUCAUUUUCAUAUCCUGGCUGCAAGCUAAUAAUGUUUGUUGUCUCUUUUCUUUCUGCACAGAAUCCAAAUUCACCAAGAAGAUCCAAAUCCAUGAAACAUAAAAAUGACUGAACAGAAGAAAGGAACCAGAGAGAAUUUCCACGUCAAAGAAGGCAGAGGCUCAGAGCACACCUACUCAUUAUGCAAUCAUCACAGACUUAUGGUAGUUCGAAGGUGUUUACCAGCCGGAGCAAACCUUUACAGAAAGUUUGCUUUGGCAAGCUGUUUCGAACACCCAAAGCAAACUCCAAAUGAAAAAAAAAACGCAAGGACGCAGUUAUUUUGAAAUUGAACUUUUUUUGCUUAGUUGUCAAACACGACCAUCUAGCGCAUGUUUACAAAGAAAAACAAUGGAAAUGCAGUGGAGUGGAAUAUAAAAACACAUUCUGUGUCAACAGCCCCUUAAGCUGCAUUCAACAAAUCCAAGGUCCAAUUUAAAAGGUUUACAUGCUGGUUAAAAAUGUUGUAAGUGAUAAUGUAUGCUAGCAGUCAACAGUCUUUUAGUUAUUUGAAAGUUUUUGAAAAUAAUUUUAUUUAACUGUCUGGUGAACGGUUUUCUUGAAACUUUGCUGGGUUCUAAGCCACGUGUGGAGAACCAGGACAGUUUGUGUGUGUUGCUAAGAGAUGAGACAUUCUCUCAAUAACACUGUGGGUAGCAGGAGUCACUAAAUACCCACAGUGCCACACAGUUCACCUUAUCACAGUCAUUCAGUUUACCGUUUUUUUGGUCCUUUUUUUUUUUUGCACGAUCUCUCAUAUCCUGUUCAUGCAGCUUUGAUGGCUGGUCUCAAAAACGACACAUCUAGGAUAGAGGAACUUGCACGAUUCUCUCAGGGAGGAAGUAAGAACUCAUUGUAUCAGCAGACAGACGCUGGGCCAGUUGAGCUCUCCCAUCACUAAGGUGCAGGAUUGUUUCUAAAUGAACGAUUCUCAUAUGGAAUCUCUCAUUCUGGGAGGAUUUUGCAACAGUUAAUAAUUAAAAGAAAGAUAAAUCAGUGUAAACAGUUAACUAUCAAAUAAUUACUACACAGGGUUUUAUGACCUUUUUUGGAGAAUCAUGAUCCAAUAGAGUAUUUUCUUCUCUCUGUAGUUUAAUAGCCAAAGUGUGGUACAGUUGUACUAUAUUAUGUCACUAGAUCUAUAGCACUUUUUUUUUCAAUAGCAAGUUAUUGAUUGCAAAGACAGUUUGGCAUAGAUCUCCAAAAAGAAUUAAGGCUUGAGAAUAUCUUUAUCAUUGAAAUGUUUUUUUUCUUCAAAAAUCUUUUCUUUUUUCAAUUUUUUAUGUUAUAGAUGUUUACAGUGUAAGGUGUCCUGUGCGGUCUCACUUUGUUUGUGACUGUGUGUAUAUGUAUUUGACUAGGUGAAAGAUGCUGCUAUCCUGUGAGCCGUACACUUAUGGGCAUGUCAUGUAAUAAAAAAUCUGAACUCUGAA